rnacentral:rRNA from 1 species
CGUCGAUGAAGAGUGCAGCCAACUGUGUGAAUUACUGUGAACUGCAUACUGCUUUGAUCAUCGACAUCUUGAACGCAUAUUGCGGCCACGGGUUAGCCCGUGGCCACGCCUGUCCGAGGGUCG